rnacentral:rRNA from 1 species
UACGUAGGGUGCAGGCGUUAAUCGGAAUUACUGGGCGUAAAGCGUGCGCAGGCGGCUCUUUAAGUCAGAUGUGAAAUCCCCGGGCUUAACCUGGGAACUGCGUUUGAAACUGAGGAGCUAGAGUGUGGAAGAGGGGGGUGGAAUUCCAGGUGUAGCAGUGAAAUGCGUAGAGAUCUGGAGGAACACCGAUGGCGAAGGCAGCCCCCUGGGCUGACACUGACGCUCAUGCACGAAAGCGUGGGGAGCAAACAGG